AGAGUUUGAUCCUGGCUCAGGACGAACGCUGGCGGCGCGCCUAACACAUGCAAGUCGAACGGAGUAUAUGAGACAGAACUCUUCGGAGGGACGACGCAUAUACUGAGUGGCGGACGGGUGAGUAACACGUGAGCAACCUGCCUUUCAGAGGGGGAUAACGUCUGGAAACGGACGCUAAUACCGCAUAACGUACAGAGGUCGCAUGGCCUAAGUACCAAAGGAGCAAUCCGCUGAGAGAUGGGCUCGCGUCUGAUUAGCUAGUUGGUGAGGUAAAGGCUCACCAAGGCGACGAUCAGUAGCCGGACUGAGAGGUUGAACGGCCACAUUGGGACUGAGACACGGCCCAGACUCCUACGGGAGGCAGCAGUGGGGGAUAUUGCACAAUGGGGGAAACCCUGAUGCAGCGACGCCGCGUGAGGGAAGAAGGUUUUCGGAUUGUAAACCUCUGUCCUCAGGGACGAUAAUGACGGUACCUGAGGAGGAAGCCACGGCUAACUACGUGCCAGCAGCCGCGGUAAUACGUAGGUGGCAAGCGUUGUCCGGAAUUACUGGGUGUAAAGGGAGCGUAGGCGGAAUGGCAAGUUGGAUGUUUAAUCUACCGGCUUAACUGGUAAUCGCAUUCAAAACUGUCAUCCUUGAGUGAAGUAGAGGCAGGCGGAAUUCCUAGUGUAGCGGUGAAAUGCGUAGAUAUUAGGAGGAACACCAGUGGCGAAGGCGGCCUGCUGGGCUUUAACUGACGCUGAGGCUCGAAAGCGUGGUAGCAAACAGGAUUAGAUACCCUGGUAGUCCACGCUGUAACG
rnacentral:rRNA from 1 species